UUAUUUCUGAGAUCGUUACAGACUAAACACUAAUUACAAAUCUGAGCAAACAAUGUCAACAUAAACAUCGAACAUACAUGAAUUACUACACAAUGUCCAUGGCUACCAUAAUAUGAUUAUCCUUAGACAUGAACAUGGUACCAACACGAAUUCAGUAGCAAUGACUUAAAAACUCUCGAGACCUAGAUAGACGUAUAUAGCACAUCCAAUCACAACCUAAUGAAGCACAGGUGACAACACAAUAAGGAGGUAAGGCCAAAGCACCACCCAAAUAGAAACAAUAAACAUGUGCACAAGAGGAGGCCUGCCAGCCGCCCUCUAUUUCUCUGGCUGCGGACCGACAGAACUCCUGACAGUUGUCAGUAAAGACUGAGCGUAAUGUGUUGUUCACGAAACAUCGUCAAUGAACAUUUUCAGAAACUGGGCUCACUUGUUGUACAUACACAACCUCACAGAUGCCUCAGACUAAUUGAAUGCCUUACAUAACACAACUUAAAAUGAACUUUCUUGGAAUGUCACCAGGGGGGUAUUCCAGAAAGCAGGUUAUGUGACAUACCUGGGUAUGUUUAAGGGUAAGUUCGUGGAUAACCUCAACUUUCGGUCCCAAAAACGGAGGUAACUUUCUGGGUAUGUAUGUAACCAUAGCAACUGACUCUCUGAAGAUAACCUGCUCGGGAGCAGGUUAUGUUUCAGUGUAACUUCGUUCCAGAAGGUUGGUGAGCAUGGCGUGCCCUUCUGAUGAGGAUCCUGUGGACGUAGAAGCACAAAUUAUACGAGUUUUUUUUCGUCGGGACAGGGUUAUAAGACCGCGUAUUGAUGUGUUUGCAUACCCUAAUGAAUAUUUGAAAGAGCGUUAUCGUUUUUCAAAAGAUUCGUUAGUUUAUUUAACACGUCUUUUAAAACCGCAUAUCGCAAAUGUGACAAACCGCGGUUCUGCGCUUAGCACAGAAAACAUUCUGUGCAUAGCACUUAGGUUUUUUUGCGUCUGGCCAUUUUUUGUACAGUGUGGGCGAUUCAGAGCAUGUGGGAACGCCAACUGUGUAGAGCCGUUCGUACAGUAUGUCUGGCACUUAAACAGUUCUUACCCACGUUUGUGCAGUUCCCUGGCCAUAAACCUCUGCUUGUUAUUAAAGACGAAUUCCACAGAGUGGCAGGUUUGUCCUUUGUAGUAAAAUCUAUGACGCAUAUUUAAUAUUUAGUCAUAUUAUUUAUAUCUAUACAUGUAUUCAUUAUGCGCACACACACUCUUCAUACUUCCAUAUCUUUCUGUUUCAGGGUUUCCAAAUGUAAUUGGGUGCAUUGAUGGCUCUCACAUUCCUAUUAAAGCUCCACCAAUAAAUGAGGGAGACUAUGUUAAUAUGAAAUCUAUUCAUAGUAUCAAUGAGCAGGUAACAACUUAAUUUUUUCCCUUCUUAAAAUCAUUAAAGUCAUUACUUUUUCCACAAACUAGGUAAUAUCUGAGGCAACCCAAAUCAUUACCAAUGUCGAGGCAAAAUGGCCAGGAUCUGUGCAUGAUGCCAGACUUUUCCGCGAGUCAUCAUUAUGCCAGACAUUUCAGCAGGGACAGUACAAUGGUUACUUGCUGGGGGACAGAGGAUACCCUUGUCUGCCCUAUUUAAUGACACCCUACCCUGAACCUGUGCCUGGACCACAGACACGGUUUAACAUGGCUCACAGCCGAACACGGGCCAAGGUGGAGAUGACUAUAGGGAUCCUCAAAUCUCGGUUUCAGUGUCUGCGUGGGCUCCGGGUUAGUCCAGAGAGGGCAUGGCACAUUAUAGUGGCUUGUGUUGUGCUUCACAAUAUUGCCACUAUAAGAGGAGAGAGCCACCCUCCUUGUAUUGAGGAAGAUGGCCCAGAGGAACACCUACAGAUUUUAGAGGCCAACAGAGACGGAAGACUUUUGAGAGACAGGAUCUGUCAAAAUUACUUUUAUUAAUUUUUUUGCACUGGUCUGCCAGGCAGUUUAUUUCUUUAUUUCCUGAAAAACAAUAAAAGUAAAAUUCAAUAAAA